UGCCCGCAACGGCGCGCAGAUAUUGUACAGCGUUCGAGCGAAGUAGACGUGAAACCCCGCAGCGAAGGCAGCUCCGACUAAAGACGUUUUUCUUUUACUUAUUCUUGUGAGAGUGCAUUACAGAGGAGAGUGCUGUGACGUAGCAGACCGUUUGAGGCGCGCGCGCGUGUAUGUGAAACCCCUAUUUUCCUUGAUUGUAGUUUUGCUGGAACCAUUGUGACCGCGCCCGUGUUUGUGUGCAUGUGCAGCGUGAAACUGUGCAAAAGACAGAGCGAAGGAACGAACUAAAAACCGAACUUGCAAAAAACAAACAACCGUACAUUCGAACCCCCCAAAGAACUGCUUCCGGUGUGCAAGAGAGUGCGGAAAGUGCAAGAACUCUACCACAGCAAGCGACACUAUGGGGCUGCUGCGACGAAACAGCCUGAACAUUGGCCGCUGGUUUCCGGCCGGCAAGCAGGAGUCGGCGGCUGCGGUCGCUGCCGCCGCUACGCCACCGGCCGGUGCGACCGUUGGGCCGCGGGCCAGCUUCGGCAGCUCGGUCGCGAUACAGAAGCUGCGCGAGAGCAAAUGGUUCGAUGCCGGCGAGGAGCGCAUCUUUUGCGCGGUGAUCGAGAACGGCUUCAUCGUGGAGGUGCGCCGACCGGCCGACCCCACCGCCGACAGCUGGUUCGGGGUGGUUUCGAUCGAGCUCAAGAAGUCCGAACUGAAACCAACGGCAGAGCACGUCAAAAUCUACUCGGUGCGCAUGAAGGAGAAUGAGAAAAAGCCGAUGAAGGUGUACUGCGUGACGCUGGCCAACCUUUGGCAGCAGGGCCACCAGCUGCGGAUCAACAAUGUGGCCGACCGGACAAAGAAAGCGCACCCGGAGAAAGACAUCUUAGCGCAGAUAAAGUACGCCUCGAAGUGCCAAAUGCCGUUCCACAACAGCCAACACUUUGCCGAAUUCUGUCGGUACGGUGACCGGCCGCAGGAUAGCCGGAAGCGACAAGUAAGUGCGUUACUGAAACGGUUCGAGGACGCAUUGCAAGGAGCGCACAACAGCUACUUCUGAGUGGCCACACAUACGACCGCGAUCCUACUACCCCCUGCCUGGAGCCUGGAGCGCACCGAAAGAUUUCCGACUGCGCCAAAUGGGGUGGACUCAAUAUGGGAGCGACGCUCAUUUUCAUGGAAAUGCAGAAGAAGCAAAAGUCACUAUCGCACUAGUAGUGCGCCUGUACUAGAGUAGUGUCCCUGUAGGUAGGCCGUCCAGCCCACCAGCCAACGCGCAAUGCUCUUGCAGCAUUAGAACUGGUCGUUAGUUGUUAAAGCAUUUCCGCAGCCGCAAACCGGAUGAAGGAGAAGAAUAUUAUUGUGAUCUUCUGUCACGCUGUACCGUUUAAGGGAACGCUAUAUCUUAGCGCUUUGUUAUGAUCUUGCGAUGCUGAGUUGCAGCAUCGCGCAUCGUACAUCGUAGGACGUAGUUUAUUGUUAGGCCAUAAGAGCGACAAUCAGCGCCUGUUGAUUGUUUUGAUUGUAUCAUAUUUUUGUGUAUCAUUACCAAAGCCAGACAGUAGUAGAAGGAUAAGGACAAAUUACCUAUUUUAUACUUUUAUCGAGUGUAAUGUAUUUGAAAACAACGAAAAUAAAAACAAAUGUGUCACAAUAGCAAUAUAAAAAAACGGA